UUUAAAAUCAAAGUAUGCAUAGCAGAGUAUUGUACCAACAAAAGUGAUUCAACAGACAAAAUUUUUAUAAGUGUGCCCGCCAUAGCAGAGAAAGAAGGAAGAAAUGCUUGGUUAAGAGCCUGUGGGUUUGGUCAGAACGACGUAAGCCCAAAAAGUCAUGUCUACGUCUUUGAAGACCAUUUUAAUAUGGGAACUGAUUGCCUAAACUUAGCUGACUACAAAAGUGGGCGCAGGAAAAACAUUGUGAUGGACAAGAAUGUCAUACCUCACAGGUUUCUAAGGCAAGAUUUUUCCCACUUAACUGGUGAUGUGGUUACAGAUGCGAUGAGUGUAUCAAUACAAACUUGUGAUAUCUUUUCCCAAGCAGCUUAUGGAGUAGAACCUGUAUUG